UACGUAGGGGGCGAGCGUUGUCCGGAAUCAUUGGGCGUAAAGCGCGUGUAGGCAGUUCGGUAAGUCUGCUGUGAAAGUCCAGGGCUCAACCCUGGGAUGCCGGUGGAUACUGCCGAACUAGAGUGCGGAAGAGGCGAGUGGAAUUCCCGGUGUAGCGGUGAAAUGCGCAGAUAUCGGGAGGAACACCAAUUGCGAAGGCAGCUCGCUGGGACGUUACUGACGCUGAGACGCGAAAGCGUGGGGAGCAAACAGG
rnacentral:rRNA from 1 species